rnacentral:rRNA from 1 species
UACGUAGGGUCCGAGCGUUGUCCGGAAUUAUUGGGCGUAAAGGGCUCGUAGGCGGUCUGUUGCGUCAGGAGUGAAAACUCGGGGCUUAACCCCGAGCCUGCUUCUGAUACGGGCAGACUAGAGGUAUGCAGGGGAGAACGGAAUUCCUGGUGUAGCGGUGAAAUGCGUAGAUAUCUGGAGGAACACCGGUGGCGAAGGCGGCGUUCUGGACUGCAACUGACACUGAGGAACGAAAGCCAGGGGAGCAAACGGG